rnacentral:rRNA from 1 species
UACAGAGGGUGCGAGCGUUGUUCGGAAUUAUUGGGCGUAAAGGGCGCGUAGGCGGUGCUGUAAGUCUGUAGUGAAAUCUCUGGGCUCAACUCAGAGUCUGCUAUAGAAACUGCAGUGCUGGAGUGUGGGAGAGGUGAGUGGAAUUCCCGGUGUAGCGGUGAAAUUCGUAGAUAUCGGGUGGAACACCUGUGGCGAAGGCGGCCAUCUGGACGUUCACUGACGCUGAGACGCGAAAGCGUGGGUAGCAAACAGG